rnacentral:rRNA from 1 species
UACGUAGGGCGCAAGCGUUAUCCGGAAUUAUUGGGCGUAAAGAGCUCGUAGGCGGCUUGUCGCGUCGACUGUGAAAACCCGCGGCUCAACCGCGGGCCUGCAGCCGAUACGAGCAAACUAGAGUGUUGCAGGGGAGACUGGAAUUCCUGGUGUAGCGGUGAAAUGCGCAGAUAUCAGGAGGAACACCGGUGGCGAAAGCGGCUCACUGGACCAUAACUGACGCUGAGGUGCGAAAGCUAGGGUAGCAAACGGG